UACGUAGGUGGCAAGCGUUAUCCGGAAUUAUUGGGCGUAAAGCGCGCGCAGGUGGUUUCUUAAGUCUGAUGUGAAAGCCCACGGCUCAACCGUGGAGGGUCAUUGGAAGCUGGGAGACUUGAGUGCAGAAGAGGAAAGUGGAAUUCCAUGUGUAGCGGUGAAAUGCGUAGAGAUAUGGAGGAACACCAGUGGCGAAGGCGACUUUCUGGUCUGUAACUGACACUGAGGCGCGAAAGCGUGGGGAGCAAACAGG
rnacentral:rRNA from 1 species